GCUGGGGUGGCCGAGCGGUUUAAGGCGCAUGCCUGCUAAUCAGGCAAUGCCAGAUUCGAAUCCCAGCCCCAGCG
rnacentral:tRNA from 1 species